rnacentral:rRNA from 1 species
UGAGGAAUAUUGGACAAUGGGCGCAAGCCUGAUCCAGCCAUGCCGCGCGCAGUAUGAAGGCCUUCGGGUUGUAAACUGCUUUUGUACGGAACGAAAAGACUCCUUCUAAUAAAGGGGGUCCAUGACGUUACCGUAAGAAUAAGCACCGGCUAACUACGUGCCAGCAGCCGCGGUCAUACGUAGGGUGCGAGCGUUAAUCGGAAUUACUGGGCGUAAAGCGUGCGCAGGCGGUUAUAUAAGACAGAUGUGAAAUCCCCGGGCUCAACCUGGGACCUGCAUUUGUGACUGUAUAGCUAGAGUACGGUAGAGGGGGAUGGAAUUCCGCGUGUAGCAGUGAAAUGCGUAGAUAUGCGGAGGAACACCGAUGGCGAAGGCAAUCCCCUGGACCUGUACUGACGCUCAUGCACGAAAGCGUGGGGAGCAAACA